UACGAAGGGGCUAGCGUUGCUCGGAAUUACUGGGCGUAAAGCGCACGUAGGCGGAUUGUUAAGUCGGGGGUGAAAUCCUGGAGCUCAACUCCAGAACUGCCUUCGAUACUGGCGAUCUCGAGUUCGGGAGAGGUGAGUGGAACUGCGAGUGUAAGAGGUGAAAUUCGUAGAUAUUCGCAAGAACACCAGUGGCGAAGGCGGCUCACUGGCCCGAUACUGACGUGAGGUGCGAAAGCGUGGGGAGCAAAACAGG
rnacentral:rRNA from 1 species